rnacentral:rRNA from 1 species
GUGUCAGCCGCCGCGGUAAUACAGAGGGGGCAAGCGUUGUUCGGAAUUACUGGGCGUAAAGGGCGCGUAGGCGGCCUUCUAAGUCGAACGUGAAAUCCCUGGGCUCAACCCAGGAACUGCGUCCGAGACUGGGAGGCUAGAAUCCGGGAGAGGGAUGUGGAAUUCCAGGUGUAGCGGUGAAAUGCGUAGAUAUCUGGAGGAACAUCGGUGGCGAAGGCGGCAUCCUGGACCGGUAUUGACGCUGAGGCGCGAAAGCCAGGGGAGCAAACGGGAUUAGAAACCCCAGUAGUCC